CCACUUUUUGCAGCAGAGGAAGAAAGAGGCAAAUGGCAACAAUGUUUCCGGAAUACCAAGGAAGAUAUACGAGGGAGGAGGAGGAGGAGGAGGAGGAGGAAGGACAGGGUCGACAAGUAUAUAUAACCCUCGCUGAACACCUGAGAGACAUUCGUUAAUUGGUCUCUGCACCGAACACACUAAAGACAGCAAAGAUGCGCGUGCUCGCUAUAGUGAUGCUGGUGGUGGCGGUGGUGAGCGGCGCCCCAGCAGCUGAGAAGGGAGGAAAGGGCAGUCAAAGAUUCCUCGGCCUCGGUGGUCUAGGUGGACUAGGAGCUCUUGGAAAUCUCUUCGGGGGCAACAGCUUUGGUCACGGUGGGUUUGGCCAAGGCUUCGGGCACGGCUUCGGGCAUGGCUACGGUUAUGGUGGCUACCCCAGCUACGGUUAUGGUGGCUACCCUGGCUAUGGCUAUGGUGGUGGCUUCCCCGGUUAUGGAGGCUUCCCUGGCUAUGGUGGCUACAACCCUUACUAUGGUUAAAUCUACCUGCACACGCUGACUCACCGGUGAUGUCUACCUGCCUACCUGUGAAGUUACCUGUAGCCAUCGGUCACCUCACCUGUCUCCCUGAUCUACGACAAUGGAUAUCAUCUCAUCUGUCUUCUCUACUUGUGAUGUCUCCUGUCUUCUGCCUACCUGUGAAGUUACCUGUAGCCAUCGGUCACCUCACCUGUCUCCCUGAUCUAAGGCAAUGGAUAUCAUCUCAUCUGUCUUCUCUACCUGUGAUGUCACCUGUAGCCAUGGUAGUCACCUUACCUGUCUUCUCUCUACCUGCAAUGUCACCUCAACAAGCAUGCCUACCUGUGCUGUAAAUUCUAACCACACCUGUUGAUUGGCUCUCACCUGCGAUAUCACCUGCUUUACCUGUCCCUUCUGGUACCUGUGCUCACCUGGCUACUUGUCCAGCACCUGUCACCCUCAUCAUCACCACCCCCUUCACCACCACCACCACCACCACCACCCUCUACACACCUCCUUUCAUCAGUCCAACUCGUCUAACUUAUGAACAAAACUAUUUAUUACUCCAAGCACCCAUCCUGACCUUACUAAUUUAUGUUUGUUCAUGUGUUUGUGUGAACGCCGCAAAAACUGUGAAAAUUUAUCUGUGAAUAACAAAAAAAAACAUACAUAAAUGAUUGCUUAAGA